GGCGUCGUGGCCCAAUGGUAAGGCGUCUGACUACGACGGUCCUGGGCGGUUCGCCUGGAUUUCGGGAUCAGGAGAUUGUGGGUUCGAGACCCACCGAUGUCA